GAGAGAAACUUAGAAAUCACCUCCCUGAAGCAUGAGGCCGAGAACUUAAGGAGGGAGACCGCCAUCACGUCAGAGAUGGUGUCAUCUUUGCAAAGAGACGUGUUAGUAAAGGAUGGUCAAGUUCAACAACUACAACAGGAGGUGAAUCAACUGAAAAGUGAGAACAAAGAAAAGGAUCACCAGCUCGAAGCCCUCAGCUCCAGACAAAUCCAUGACAUGGAAAAAGAAAUGAGGAAGCUCAGGGUGGAGCUGAAAAGGAGCA